AAAACAUGUCUCUUAGAAAUCAUUAAGAGUCAGGCCUGCCCAGUGAUUGCUUUUUAACGGCCGCGGUACCCUGACCGUGCAAAGGUAGCAUAAUCAUUUGCCUUUUAAUUGAAGGCUGGUAUGAACGGUUUGACGAGAGUAAAGCUGUCUCACAUAUACUUAAUAAAAAUUAAUUUAAAGGUGCAAAAGCCUUUAUUACCCAAAAAGACGAGAAGACCCUGUUGAGCUUUAAUUUAGCCCAAGUAUUAACUAUAUAUUAAUAUAAUUCACUUACUCGGUAAAAAUUUUAAUUGGGGCGAUUAAGGAACACACAAAAGCUUCCUGAUUAUUCAGUAAAAUAUUCAAUAGAUUAAAUCGAUCCAGCAAUGCUGAUCAACAAAAUGAGUUACCACAGGGAUAACAGCAUAAUUCUUUUUGAGAGCUCAUAUCGAAAAAAGAGAUUGUGACCUCGAUGUUGGACUAGGGUAACCGGAAGGUGCAGCCGCUUUCCUGCUUGGUCUGUUCGACCAAUAAUUCCCUACGUGAUCA
rnacentral:rRNA from 1 species